rnacentral:rRNA from 1 species
GACGAACGCUGGCGGCGUGCUUAACACAUGCAAGUCGAACGGAAAGGCCCUGCUUUUGUGGGGUGCUCGAGUGGCGAAAGGGUGAGUAACACGUGAGUAACCUGCCCUUGACUUUGGGAUAACUUCAGGAAACUGGGGCUAAUACCGGAUAGGAGCUCCUGCUGCAUGGUGGGGGUUGGAAAGUUUCGGCGGUUGGGGAUGGACUCGCGGCUUAUCAGCUUGUUGGUGGGGUAGUGGCUUACCAAGGCUUUGACGGGUAGCCGGCCUGAGAGGGUGACCUGCCACAUUGGGACUGAGAUACGGCCCAGACUCCUACGGGAGGCAGCAGUGGGGAAUAUUGCACAAUGGGCGGAAGCCUGAUGCAGCAACGCCGCGUGCGGGAUGACGGCCUUCGGGUUGUAAACCGCUUUCGCCUGUGACGAAGCGUGAGUGACGGUAAUGGGUAAAGAAGCACCGGCUAACUACGUG